CCACCCCUGCAAUGUGCGUGAUUGUAUGACGGUCUUUGUCCUAACGCAUAUUUAAAAGGGAAUCCACCCUGAUGCCGGUGAGCAGGUUCCUCAAAAGCAAGGAAAAGCCUAAAGGCGUUACUGGAUGCCCACCUUUUGAACCACUGGUUCAAAGCUUAAUGCAACACGGCAGCCUGCGGGGGCUAC
rnacentral:other from 1 species